CCAUCUCUACUAAAGAUACAAAAAUUAGCUGGAUGUGGUGGCACUCACCUGUAAUCCCAGCUACCUGGGAGGCUGAGGCAGGAGAAUCACUUGAACCUGGGAGGCAGAGGUUGUGGUGAGCCGAGAUGGCACCACUGCACUCAGCCUGGGCAACAGAGUGAGACGCUGUCUCAAAAAAAAAAAAAAAAGAAAGAGGAUUAUGAGGAAGAGCAGGCUUUCAACACUGAUGGGACUGGCUUGUUUUACAAGGGCACUGGCAAACAAACCUAUGUAACACAAAUGGCAUUUCAACUGACAAAAAUGUUGAGACCGGAGGCUCACAAGAACCUCACUGUGUAUUGCUCCAAAAGCUAUAGUAAUCACUAGUUCAAUGUUUGGAGUGACUUCAUAGAUUGUGAUUGCUGCAAAUGAUGAGAAUCAACUCUACAUAGAAAUAAAUGUAACAAAAGAAGUGCAAUACUUCUGAAAACUCUAAAACAGUGUUGAACGAUAUUAAAACUUCAAAUAAAUGGAAAAAUAUCUCACUUUCAUGGAUUUGGAGACUUAAUAUUGUUAAGAUAGCAAUAUUUCCUAAAUUGAUUCACUGAUUCAACAUAAUCCCUUUCAAAAUCCCAGCUGCCUCUUGCCAAAAUUGACAAGCUAUACAUCUGUUUGACAGACCUAGUGCAAUUACUGGGUGCUGCUAAGGUUCUCACUACAGAUGCAAGAAAAAGGUGUCAUUGUCCUUUCUGUCUGUCUUAUUGUGGUAGCCAAGACUGAAUAGAGGAAAACAGAGGAAAAAUAUGGACAGAGAAGUUUCGCAGAUCAGAAAUAACCUUGUAAACAGUGAAGAGCCUGUUUUACUCCAAACAAGAACCCAAAAUUUGAGUAUACAUGAGAAGUGUUGAGAAAUACCUCCUACCACCCUCACCUGGUUGAUUACACUUAAGUAAAAGCUUGAAGGUUAAGACAAUGAAAAGCAAGCCAGUUGGGGACUGUGGGGGGAAGAAAUCGACAAGCUGAUCCUAAAAUUCAUAUGGAAAUUCAAGGGAUCUAGAAUAACCAAAGCAAUCUUGGAAAAGGAGAAUGAAGUAGGAAGGCUCAUAUUCACUGACAGUGAUCAAGGCAGUGUGAAAGGAUAGACACAUAAAGUCAGGCACAAUGGCUCACGCCUGUAAUCCCAGCACUUUGGGAGCCCAAGGAGGGUGGAUCACCUGAGGUCAGGAGUUUGAGACCAGCCUGGCCAACAUGGUGAAACCCCAUCUCUACUAAAAAUACAAAAUCAGCCAGCUGUAGCGGCAUAUGCAUUUGAUCCCAGCUACUUGGGAGGCUGAGGCAGGAGAAUUGCUUGAACCUGGGAGGCAGAGGUUGCAGAGAGCCAAGGUCGUUCCAUUGCACUCCACCCUGGGCAACAAGAGCGGAAACUCCGUCUCAAAAAAAAAAAAAAGAAAGGACAGACACAUAAACCAGUGAAACAAAAGAGAGAGCUCAGAAAUAGAACCACACUAAUAUAGUCAACUGAUUUUUAUCAAAGAUAGAAAGGCAAUUCAAUGAAGA
rnacentral:lncRNA from 1 species